rnacentral:rRNA from 1 species
AUUGAACGCUGGCGGCAGGCCUAACACAUGCAAGUCGAACGAGUGGCGGACGGGUGAGUAAUGUCUGGGAACCUGCCUGAUGGAGGGGGAUAACUACUGGAAACGGUAGCUAAUACCGCAUACCAUCAGAUGUGCCCAGAUGGGAUUAGCUUGUUGGUGGGGUAACGGCUCACCAGGGCGACGAUCCCUAGCUGGUCUGAGAGGAUGACCACCCACACUGGAACUGAGACACUGUCCAGACUCCUACUUAGUUCAACAGUUUAUAAUAUUGCACAAUGGGCGCAAGCCUGAUUCAGCCAUGCCGCGGGUAUGAAGAAGGCCUUCGGGUUGUAAAGUACUUUCAGCGGGGAGGCGUUACCCGCAGAAGAAGCACCGGCUAACUCCGUGCCAGCAGCCGCGGUAAUAC